UACAGAGGUCCCAAGCGUUGUUCGGAUUCACUGGGCGUAAAGGGUGCGUAGGCGGUCGGGUAAGUCUGGCGUGAAAUCUCCAAGCCCUAACUUGGAACUGCGUUGGAUACUAUCCGGCUCGAGGAAUGGAGGGGAGACUGGAAUACUUGGUGUAGCAGUGAAAUGCGUAGAUAUCAAGUGGAACACCAGUGGCGAAGGCGAGUCUCUGGACAUUUCCUGACGCUGAGGCACGAAAGCCAGGGGAGCAAACGGG
rnacentral:rRNA from 1 species